AGCUGAGGCCGAAAGGCGUAGGUGAUGGACAACAGGUUGAUAUUCCUGUACUACCGAUAACCGUUUGAGAGAAGGGAUGACACAGUAGGAUAAGCUAAGCACACUGUUGGUUAUGUGUGCCCAAGCAUUGAGGCAGUCAAAGUAGGCAAAUCCGCUUUGAUAAUGCUGGGAUGUGAUGGGGAGCGAAAUUUAGUAGCGAAGUAGCUGAUUUCACACUGUCAAGAAAAGUCUCUAUCGAGGUUAAAGGUACCCGUACCGCAAACCGACACAGGUGGGUGAGGAGAGUAUCCUAAGGCCAGCGAGAGAACUGUUGUUAAGGAACUCGGCAAAAUGACCCCGUAACUUAGGGAUAAGGGGUGCCACCAUCAGGUGGCCGCAGAGAAUAGGCCCAAGCGACUGUUUACCAAAAACAUAGGUUUCUGCUAAGUCGCAAGACGAUGUAUAGGAGCUGACGCCUGCCCGGUGCUGGAAGGUUAAGGGGAUCUGUUAGAGCAAUCGAAGCAGUGAACUUAAGCCCCAGUAAACGGCGGCCGUAACUAUAACGGUCCUAAGGUAGCGAAAUUCCUUGUCGGGUAAGUUCCGACCCGCACGAAAGGCGUAACGAUUUGGGCACUGUCUCAACAACAGACUCGGUGAAAUUGUAAUUCCGGUGAAGAUGCCGGAUACCUGCGACAGGACGGAAAGACCCCAUGGAGCUUUACUGUAGCUUGACAUUGGGUCUUGGUACUACAUGUACAGGAUAGGUGGGAGGCUUUGAAACCAGGACGCCAGUUUUGGCGGAGCCAUCCUUGGGAUACCACCCUUGUAGUACUGGGACUCUAACCAUAGGCCAUGAAUCUGGUCUU
rnacentral:rRNA from 1 species